rnacentral:rRNA from 1 species
AGUGAAAUCGAGUAGGUCGGAGCACGUGAAACUUUGACUGAAUAUAGGUGGACCAUCAUCUAAGGCUAAAUACUCCCAACUGACCGAUAGUGAACCAGUACCGUGAGGGAAAGGCGAAAAGAACCCCUGUGAGGGGAGUGAAAUAGAACCUGAAACCGUAUACGUACAAGCAGUAGGAGCAUACUUGUUAUGUGACUGCGUACCUUUUGUAUAAUGGGUCAGCGACUUAUAUUCUGUAGCGAGGUUAACCGAUUAGGGUAGCCGUAGCGAAAGCGAGUCUUAACUGGGCGCUUAGUUGCAGGGUAUAGACCCGAAACCCGGUGAUCUAGCCAUGGGCAGGUUGAAGGUUGAGUAACAUCAACUGGAGGACCGAACCCACUAACGUUGAAAAGUUAGGGGAUGACCUGUGGCUAGGAGUGAAAGGCUAAUCAAACCGGGAGAUAGCUGGUUCUCCCCGAAAUCUAUUUAGGUAGAGCCUCGGACGAAUACUUACGGGGGUAGAGCACUGUUAAGGCUAGGGGGUCAUCCCGACUUACCAACCCUUUGCAAACUCCGAAUACCGUAAAGUACUAUCCGGGAGACACACGGUGGGUGCUAACGUCCAUCGUGAAGA